CAAUUUUCCUCUUCCUUUCUGACAACCCACACGAUCCCAAACGCAUCCAUCCAGAACGCCGCCGACGCCUCUCGUGCUCACCCAUCCCAAACGUCACCGAACGUCGAACGCCAAACGCUAACUUCCAUUCGAACGUCGAACGCCUAACGCGAACGCCUAACGCGAACGCGAACGCCGCUCCCCGUCUCUUUUGCUGUCUUUGUUGUUUGUUAGGCUGCUUGAUUUGAUUACUUUUGUUGGUUUCUUUUUUUUACGUAUCAGGUUCUUAGACAAAUUGAAAAUACCCGGCUAAGGAAAAGGAGAAAUGGGAUUGACCUUCACCAACCUUUUCAAUAGGCUUUUUGCAAAGAAGGAGAUGCAGAUUUUGAUGGUUGGUCUUGAUGCUGCUGAAAAGACCACGAUCUUGUACAAGCUCAAGCUCGGAGAAAUUGUCACAACUAUUCCUACAAUGGGUGGCAUUGGCGGGUACCUCCUUUUCGUUUCUUCAGAGAGUUGGUGCUGUGGUGCGUAAUGGGGGCAAGCUAUUUGCUGUAGGGAGUGGUGCAUCUGUGUGUGAGAGUGGGUUUUGGUUCAUAAAGGAUUCCCUAAAAUAAGCGUUAAACCAUAUAAUGUGUAACAUAUAGCCUAAAAGAAAUUAAAAGCUGUGUUGGGAGCUUUAAUUUGGUGUUUGUAGCCUUGCAGCUAUAUGUUGCUGCUGUCUAAUGAGCAUAUAGAAAAAAGUCGAGUGUUUGUUAUAAUGGUAAGAAUCAACUUUAAAUCAUGAGUAUAUUGUAAUUCUAUUUAUAAUUUUCUUGCUCUAUCAUAUUGUAUCAGUAAAAAGCUGGAUUACUUGUUGUACAAUAUCAUUUUCUGCCUCACUUUUCAAUGUUUAGUAUAUUUGUUAUUCUUAAUGUCAUUUGUCGUAAUGUAGUCCAUAUUCCUAGCAUGUGCUUCCUUUUCAGCUCUAAUUCGAAAAGCCUAUUGCCUCUCAAGUUUUAAUUUUCACUAUUCACCAUUGGCCUCCUACUUAGAGUUGCACAUAUAUUAGUAUAUUAUUAUGUGUGAUGCUCUGAAUAUUUGAUGAUUUGCUAAUGCAAGGUUAAAAUUGCCAAGUGGAACCCUGAAAAGGAUUUGCUAGCCAUGGUCACGAAAGACUAAAAAAUUUUGUUCUAGCGUUUCAACUGGCAAAGGUU